CACGUAGGGAGCAAGCGUUGUCCGGGUUUAUUGGGCGUAAAGAGCUCGUAGGUGGUUCGGUAAGUCAGGUGUGAAACCUCCAGGCUCAACCUGGAGACGCCACUUGAUACUGCUGUGACUAGAGUCCGGUAGGGGAGCGUGGAAUUCCACGUGUAGCAGUGAAAUGCGUAGAGAUGUGGAGGAACACCGAUGGCGAAGGCAGCCCCCUGGGUUAACACUGACGCUCAUGCACGAAAGCGUGGGGAGCAAACAGG
rnacentral:rRNA from 1 species